AGAGUUUGAUCGUGGCUGAGGACGAACGCUGGCGGCGUGCUUAACACAUGCAAGUCGAACGAUGAAGCGGUGCUUGCACCGUGGAUUAGUGGCGAACGGGUGAGUAAUACGUGAGUGACCUACCUUUGACUCUGGGAUAAGCCUGGGAAACUGGGUCUAAUACCGGAUACGACCAAUCUCUGCAUGGGGUGUUGGUGGAAAGCGUUAUGGAGUGGUUUUAGAUGGGCUCACGGCCUAUCAGCUUGUUGGUGAGGUAAUGGCUUACCAAGGCGACGACGGGUAGCCGGCCUGAGAGGGUGACCGGCCACACUGGGACUGAGACACGGCCCAGACUCCUACGGGAGGCAGCAGUGGGGAAUAUUGCACAAUGGGCGCAAGCCUGAUGCAGCGACGCCGCGUGAGGGAUGACGGCCUUCGGGUUGUAAACCUCUGUUAGCAUCGAAGAAGCGAAAGUGACGGUAGGUGCAGAGAAAGCGCCGGCUAACUACGUGCCAGCAGCCGCGGUAAUACGUAGGGCGCGAGCGUUGUCCGGAAUUAUUGGGCGUAAAGAGCUUGUAGGGCGGCUGGUCGCGUCUGCUGUGAAAGGCCGGGGCUUAACUCCGGUUUUGCAGUGGGUACGGGCUAACUAGAGUGCAGUAGGGGAGACUGGAAUUCCUGGUGUAGCGGUGGAAUGCACAGAUAUCAGGAGGAACACCGAUGGCGAAGGCAGGUCUCUGGGCUGUAACUGACGCUGAGAAGCGAAAGCAUGGGGAGCGAACAGGAUUAGAUACCCUGGUAGUCCAUGCCGUAAACGUUGGGCACUAGGUGUGGGGGACAUUCCACGUUUUCCGCGCCGUAGCUAACGCAUUAAGUGCCCCGCCUGGGGAGUACGGCCGCAAGGCUAAAACUCAAAGGAAUUGACGGGGGCCCGCACAAGCGGCGGAGCAUGCGGAUUAAUUCGAUGCAACGCGAAGAACCUUACCAAGGCUUGACAUGCAUUAGAUCGCGUCAGAGAUGGCGUUUCCCUUCGGGGCUGGUGUACAGGUGGUGCAUGGUUGUCGUCAGCUCGUGUCGUGAGAUGUUGGGUUAAGUCCCGCAACGAGCGCAACCCUCGUUCUAUGUUGCCAGCGGUUCGGCCGGGGACUCAUAGGAGACUGCCGGGGUCAACUCGGAGGAAGGUGGGGAUGACGUCAAAUCAUCAUGCCCCUUAUGUCUUGGGCUUCACGCAUGCUACAAUGGCCGGUACAGAGGGUUGCGAUACUGUGAGGUGGAGCUAAUCCCUUAAAGCCGGUCUCAGUUCGGAUUGGGGUCUGCAACUCGACCCCAUGAAGUCGGAGUCGCUAGUAAUCGCAGAUCAGCAACGCUGCGGUGAAUACGUUCCCGGGCCUUGUACACACCGCCCGUC
rnacentral:rRNA from 1 species